rnacentral:misc_RNA from 1 species
UAGUGAUUGUUCCGAUGUGUCCAGGUCAGAUUGUUGAAGUAUUCAUUGCAGUUCUUUUUUAAUUUACCUGCCAAGUCAAAUUUCUUGACAUUUUUAUGGUUAGAAUUUUUUUUUUUUUCCCAAAAUUUCUUACUGAUAUGAUUUGUGGAGAAUAACAGUGCAUGGUGUUCUAACAUGAUCAAUCAGUGUUUGAAAUAGCAAUUCCAACCAUCUAGACUGGUGGAACCUGAUUGGUCAGUUAUAUUGUGCUGUCGCUCAGCCUCAACACAAGUGGUAAAAUUUGAAAUAGGUUUAAGAUACAUCCUAUAUUUGAAUAGUACCAUUGGGGAAAAGAGUGCAAAGACAAUUUUCUUCUCUAUGUAUGUAGAAGCAGUAGGAUUAAAGGAUAAAGAAAUAAAAAUUUCAUAAGUGUGCAUGAAUGAUACACAUAUGGGCAUUUUGGGGGAGAGAUUCUUUUGUCAGCCUUUAGAUUGGUACUGGAAAGCGAAUCAUGUAUAAACAUGCCAGAAGCAAAUGCCCAAGCAGAGAGAGUCUUGGCUAUUACAAAGCACAUAUGUGCUGAUUUUCAUACAAUACUACUGUCUACUGUAUAAACAACUUCAAGUAAGUUGAAAAACUUAACACAUUUACAUGUUGCACAGUAAUUCUCAAGCCUCUGAAAAUUACUUUAAUGAGAUUUUCAUGAUACUCUGGUUUUGAAGUGCUUAUGAUAUCGCUUUAAAAGCUAGAGAUUUAAUCAACUGGAAGUGAUAAAUUGAUAUAUCAUAGUUAGCAAUGUUAUAUUAAAUUCACUUGGUGAAAAAAAUGACGUGUAAGAAUUUUCAAUUAUAUGAAAACUUCACUUUGACUUUACACUCAUUCCAUAUCUAUUUCACAGUAUCUUCAUUUUCUUUGGUGCUCUUAUAAACAUAAUGGCCUGGGAUAUAUUAAUAUAAUACUAUUCCUCCAUUGGGGAGUUCCCAUUCUUUGUCAGCACUCAGCACAGAUUUAAAUCUGUACCACUGUAUUUAUUAUAUGCCUUCCAUUUGCACUAUUCUCAAUGUUAUAAUUCAUGGAUUGGCCACUGAACCAUUUUGUCCCUUGUUGUCUGGUUUAGGUUCUCCAGUUAUCUAUAGUUUUAAUCUUUCAGAUGAUUUUUUCAUUUGUGUGUGGAAGAGGGACUAGUGAUUCCUUGCUCAAUGAUUUAUUGUUCCAUGCGUGUUCAUGUUAAACUUUGAACUCAUAGCACAAACAAACUUUUCUGGAUCAGCAUGCAAAUUGGAGAAGAGGA